UAAUACAUGCAAGUAGAACGCAGAGGUCAGGUGCUUGCACUGGACUGAUGAGUUGCGAACGGGUGAGUAACGCGUAGGUAACCUACCUGAUAGCGGGGGAUAACUAUUGGAAACGAUAGCUAAUACCGCAUAAAAGCCAAUGACCCAUGUCAUUGGCUUGAAAGAAGCAAACGCUUCACUAUGAGAUGGACCUGCGUUGUAUUAGCUAGUUGGUAGGGUAAAGGCCUACCAAGGCGACGAUACAUAGCCGACCUGAGAGGGUGAACGGCCACACUGGGACUGAGACACGGCCCAGACUCCUACGGGAGGCAGCAGUAGGGAAUCUUCGGCAAUGGGGGGAACCCUGACCGAGCAACGCCGCGUGAGUGAAGAAGGUUUUCGGAUCGUAAAGCUCUGUUGUUAGAGAAGAACAGUGAUGGGAGUGGAAAGUCCAUCAUUUGACGGUAACUAACCAGAAAGGGACGGCUAACUACGUGCCAGCAGCCGCGGUAAUACGUAGGUCCCGAGCGUUGUCCGGAUUUAUUGGGCGUAAAGCGAGCGCAGGCGGUUUGAUAAGUCUGAAGUUAAAGGCAGUGGCUUAACCAUUGUAUGCUUUGGAAACUGUUAAACUUGAGUGCAGAAGGGGAGAGUGGAAUUCCAUGUGUAGCGGUGAAAUGCGUAGAUAUAUGGAGGAACACCGGUGGCGAAAGCGGCUCUCUGGUCUGUAACUGACGCUGAGGCUCGAAAGCGUGGGGAGCAAACAGGAUUAGAUACCCUGGUAGUCACGCCGUAAACGCUGAGUGCUAGGUGUUAGGCCCUUUCCGGGGCUUAGUGCCGUA
rnacentral:rRNA from 1 species